GUGCACCAGCUCCAUGCUUGGCAUUCUGCAGUUGCCAUGGAAACCAAAGAUGUUGACAGCGCUGCCAGGCCUGGGGGUCAGCAUGGGGCCUGUCCCAGUGGAGCUGCCGUGUUCUGGGCUUGAAGUGACAGCUCGCCUGCUGACGGGAAGGUUUGGCUCUGCUGAUGUCAGAGGGGAGCAAGCACAGCAGCACACACUGUUUAUGCUUCUGUGAUGUUUAACUGACAGAAUCAAUCUUCGCUGCUCAGCACUUCCACGGUAUGUAUCACUUUCCUAUUUUGUCCUUAGAGAAAUCCCAGGCAGCAUCGGCGAGCUGCCUUAAACCACCAUUAGAUUGAAAUAAAAGGAAGAAGAACCCCAGUCCUUCACAGAUUUACAAAGCUAUAAGCAAUGAACAAGUGAUGCCCCAUUUUCCAAAGCCCCUCGUGCCGGCUCCAAGUCAGAAACCAGCCACUGAUAACUCAUACAGCACGGAUGUGACAAACAGGAGGGAAGCAGCCAUCUAUCACGGCAGCUCCCGAAGCCUUCCAAUAAAACAAAGUGCCAAAUGGAAUUCUAAACCACUGCUGGUGCUUUCAUGCCUCUGGGAAGCCACAGCAUAAAUAACAGGGCUGAAGGGCUCUGAUCUGGGUGCGUGCAGACCAGUCUGUGCUGCUGCAGAGAGGAAUCUGUGCUCAAGCCUUCAGGGAGCCUCCACAGCAAAGCUCCGUCUGUUGCUGGAAGGAUGCUCUAGUUUGAGGAGGGACCAUUUCAGCUUUUCAGAAGAGCCUGAGUGCCACUGAAUCACCACAAUCUUGUUUUUUCUCCUCUCCUUUGGCUUUUAUUCAUAUGUUAGUGUUCCCUUUGCUAUUAAGGCUAAAGCAAGGAUCGAUGAGGUCCAUAUGCUCCCAGCUCUGUUGCAGGAGCCCAGGACUAAUUCCGAUCUUGAGCCUGUCUUUGGGCCAUCUGUUCGCAGCAUCACACACGACAACAUGUCAUUAUGGCCGAGAAUUUGCAUAACCACUGUGGAGGAAUUGUGUCCAACUCCAUUCACACCAGCCACAAUGGGUUUUCUCACACUGUAGGAAGAGGCUGGAAAAACGAGAAGCCAAUGAGCAUCACAUCCACGUUUCCUAGGAGGGGCCCAGCCAAAGAGCAGACUGAGGAUCCAAGGCACCCCUUUGAGCUGCUUGGGCACCAGCAAUGUCAACAUCCUCCACCUGCUCAUCCCCUCAUCCCACUUCCAGCUGUGAUCUGACACGCAGCAGCAAAGCUGUGCUGCAGGGCUGAGUGCCGGUGCCUCCAGCCUACCUGCACACCACUUUCUCCACAAGGUUAACACAUUAAUUCUCCCAACUGUGACAUCAAAGGCUUAAAUUACAGCUCAUGCUGUGGAAGGCUUGGAGCCACACGGUGCUCACUGCAGCUCUGGGCCCUCUCCUUCCAUUUUGGCUGCAGAGAAACGAUGCCAGCAAAAGAGAGUGGGGGCUGGAACCCUCCAGCAGACUCAGAUCUCAGGCAGCAGCCCUGGCUGGGGAGCCUUCCUCUGACAGCCCAUUUUCAGCUUCUUACGCCGACCACCACUGCUGAUAUUUGGGCAGCAUGAUCACAGCGGUGUGCCAGGACCUUCCCUGCUGCCAGAGCGUGCACGGGAAGAGGGAGCAGGCAGGCUUCAGCCCCAGCCCCACUCAUCCUCCCCUUGGCAAGCAGGGAGCCGGGCUGGAAAGCCUCACCCGCUGCCUUCAUCAGCGCCAGGAGCACAAUAGCCCUUUAACGAUAAUUACAGGCUUGCGGCAGCUCUGCUGGUGCGCGGGGCUGGGGCUCUCUGGUAGCGAGAGGUGCUGUUUAAGUACUCGAAAGAAUGGCACUUAGCAGAUGUCUUGGGGUAAAUGGUAGGUUAAGCAACACCGAGAGCGCUGGUGGAACGAGAGCUAAUUUACACUCACAUGAUUCAAUUUGCAUGGUUAAUUCUAUUUAAAGCAAACAUCCAGCACCCGCUGGAGCUCCGGAAGGACCAUGGUUCUCAUUUUGUUCUCAUUUUGGUUCUCAUUUCUUCUCUGCAAUGCUUCUGAGAACAAAAUGGUUGGGUAAUGGAUCCAGCCAACAUGGAUGUGGUACGGGAGAAGUUUCCUGAAGGCGUUUCCCCUGGAGAGCAUCGUCUCUCUCUGCUAAUGUCACCAUGCAGACACCGCCCACUGCAGAACGUGCACUGCCACAACCUGAUGAGAUUCAGCAAGUGUCCUUCAGCCAUAUGAGAUCCAACCUAUUGCCCACAUCAAAUGUUCUCUCAGGAUAUGAAACUACCCACCAGCAUGGGCACAAAGCCCAGUGCCAGGGAGAAAUGCCAGAGAUGUCCAUAGGAGGAAGCAGUCUAGAGCAUUUUAGCAAUAAGUUAAUUACAUGGGUCAUGUUAUAUGUGGAAUUGGAAUAUCUUUAAUUUGUUCCUAAUUAAGAUUCUUGACAAUUUACCAUAGCACCAUGGCUCUUCGCCACCUGGAUUCUACUGUCCCUGUCUUGCCCCACAUGGCCUUUUCCCUGAGACUUUUGCCCUCCAGUCUGACACUGGAAGAAUGCAAAACACUGAUUCUGGUUGGUUCUUGGCAAUCAAUAUUGCUUCUUAACUGAACAAUAGCAGUUCUUCAUCACAACACUUGGAGUUCAGCAGAGAACAGAAGGCCUGUAAACGCCCUGGAUGAGCAGAAAAGCAUAAAUUACCUUGGAGAUAAUAAGCCAAACACAAACAGUAUUUACGGCUGGUUAGAGCGGCGGUGCUGAGCGUGCAGGGGAGCACACGGCGCUGCGAGCGGAAGGGGAAGGCGUUCGCACGUUAUUUCUUUUCAACUUGAGAAAUCUGAAAGCAAAACAUCAAAAGAGGUUUCCCAGCACUGUCCUACAGAACAUCCAUAUCAGCACAAGCUGUGGUUUUCCCUUCCUUUCACAAGGCAGAGGAAAAGCUCUGCUGUGUGAUGGGGGAAUCACAGGCAGCGAGCACUCAAAAGCAACGAUCAGAGGAAAUUUUUCACACACAAGCAACGGGGCUGAAAUCCGUCCAGCCGAGAACAAAUUUGUAAGAUUCCAAGCUGGCACCUGGGCUAUUUGUGAGCAGCAGAAGGAACCAAAGGCAGCAACUGAAUUGCUUUCUGCAAAGCAGCUCGUGUGGCUUGAGUAGCUCCCCAGUAUCACCAAGACUCCUGCAAAUUGCUAGGUAACUACGCUGAACAGAGCCAAAAAUAAUCCCUCCCGUGACUUGCUCUGACAGUGUUUGGAAGAGUGAAAUAACAGUGUUUGAGCACAGAACAGCGUGAUACCAGCUCUGCAGGGCAGCACCAAAGCAGCUCCAUCCAUGGCGCAUGAGGCACAUCUAUGGCAUUGGAGGUUGCUGGCAUGUCCAGGUCAUGCCAGGGGUCUGGGCUUCUCCAGGGUGGGAAGAGGGAAAGGGGAACACAUGGACUUUUCAGACAAUGGCAAAACAAAGGCAAAAAAAGGGGUUUUCCUGUUGCUCCCCAGGAGCAGAACCAAGCAAUGCUGGGAACAACCUGCAUCUUCUGACCACCAGUGACUCACGGGAAGUCCUUCCGAAAUACUGUGUGCACCAGGGAUAUAAAUAAUGCCCAGCCAGCUCUCA